UACGGGGGGAGCAAGCGUUGUUCGGAUUUACUGGGCGUAAAGGGCGCGUAGGCGGCCAGCACAAGUCAGUUGUGAAAUCUCCGAGCUUAACUCGGAAAGGUCAACUGAUACUGUGCGGCUAGAGUGCGGAAGGGGCAACUGGAAUUCUUGGUGUAGCGGUGAAAUGCGUAGAUAUCAAGAGGAACACCUGCGGCGAAGGCGGGUUGCUGGGCCGACACUGACGCUGAGGCGCGAAAGCCAGGGGAGCGAGCGGG
rnacentral:rRNA from 1 species